CAAUAAAUCUCAAUUAUAUCAUACCAACAUAACAAAGAGACUAGUCACAGUAUUACCAUUGCUACACAAUCUCAGUAAGCUUAAGUUAUGGCAUUGUAGGUUAACUGACAAUAUAAUACAGCUACCUUUACAUAUGCAGAGUUUAAAGAACAUUGAGCUGAAUAUUGUCAUAAUGAGUUUGACAACAUGGCAGAAGUUUGUUGAUAGUCUUCCUGGUAUUCCUCAUACUGUAGAUGUGAUUGUAUCAGACUGUUAUAUAACAGGAGAUGGUGAGGAGUUUAAUGAUGAUAUGUUAACAUUGAUAUCACAAGGAGGAGGGAAGGGAAAUGAUGCUAAACAGUAUGUAAAAGAUAAGGAUCAGUUAUUUCAUGUUAAAUAUGAUACUGAUCAUUUGUUUAUGUUUUCAACAAAAAAGUGAUAUAGGAUGCAUGAAGUGAACAUAGAGAGAUGAUAAUUUGGUUUUUCAUUUUCGACAAAAAAAAUUAUCCGAAAUUAUCCGAAUUGUUAACAUAGUGAGGGAGAAUACAUGCAGUAAACGUAUUGUUUAAUCUUAAUUAUUUCAUGAUAAAAGACAUAUAAAAGUAGACUUUUCAUUAUCAGCAAAUAAGUAAUACUAAAGUUACAUAUUGAUAAGUUAAGUAAUGAAUGUAGUGCAAUAUGAUAGAUAACAAUCAUCAAAAACAGUUGAACUGAAAUAUUAAUUUCUGGUCAUUGUAAUAAUAUUGAAAUUGAUGAAAGUAAUAUUCAAAUGUGUAUUUAAAUUUAAAAAAAAGACAGAAAUGCACUGAAAUAUAAAAGACAAAAUAUAUAAAUCUGGAUAAAGGUGAAAGUUAUUUUUUAAAGAUCAGAUUUAGUUUGUGAAAAAAUAUGAUAUGAAAAAGUAAUGUUCUAAUUAAAAUGCAUAAAUAGAUUUGAAAAUAAACAAGUAAAUAUAUUAAUAAAUAAGUAAAUUUAAUGGAAAUAUCAUAAUACAGAUACUUAAUGUAAUUUACAUGGUCAGAAAAGUUAGAAGAAGUAAAAGAUAACAUGCAAAUACCAGUCAUAUAAAUAUGUAUGGCAAUGGAAUGGUAUAUAUAAAUACCAGUUAUAUGAUAUAAAGGACAAGGGAAUCAGGUAUAUAUAAAUACCAGUUAUAUCAUAAUGUACAAGGGCAGAAGAAGUGAAUGAUUAAUGUAACUGAAUAAAUAAAUAUCUGUUAUAUGAUAUAUUGGACAAUGUAAUGGUAUAAACAAAUACUAGUUGCACGAUAUAUAGGACAAGUAAAUGAUAUAUAUUGAUACCAGUUAUGUGGUGUAUAGGAUAAUGGAAUGGUAUAUAUAAAUACCAGUUGUACAAUAUAUAGGACAGGGGUACGUUGUAUAUAUAAAUACCAGUUUUAUUAUAUAAAAGACAAGGGAAUGAUAUUUUAAAAUACCAAAUAUGAUUUAUAGGACAAUUGAUUGGUAUAAAUAAAUACAAGUUAUAUGAUAUAUAUGACAAUGGAAUGGUGUAAUGAAUACCAGUUAUAUGAUAUAUAGGAUAAAUGAAUAGUAUAUAUAAAUACCAGUUAUAUGAUAAAUAUGACAAUAAAAUGUUAUAAUUAAAUACCAAAUGUAUGUUAUAUAGGACAAAGGAAUGAUACAAAGUUAUAUGGAAUGUAGGAUAAGGUAAUGGUAUAUGUAAAUACUGGUUAUAUGAUAUAUAGGGCAAUGGAAUGGUAUAUAUAAAUACCACUUAUAUGAUAUACAUGACAAUGGAAUGGUAUAUGUGAUAUGAUAUAGAGGAAUUGUAAACUUUAUAUAUGAAUACCUGUUACAUGAUAUAUAUUGAGAUGAGGACCAUUUAGUAAACAUGUUAUAUUUUAGAUAUUUUUUCUUUGAUUGUUUUUUAUUGUAAAGAUUGAAAAAGUGAGAAAAAUUAUAAUUAUGCAAAACGAUUUAUGUGUACAAGUUAAUUCUGUUAGUCAGUAUUACACUCUAAGUGUAUAUUUAAAGGGACUCCACUGAGGAUUUUAUUAUAUUAAUUGUUUGACAUGAUAGGAUGUCUAAUGAGAGAUAUGUUGUUGAGGUGUCAUACUAUUUAAUGAAGAUUUAUUACUUUUCAUGUAAAAAAAUUGUAUGCAAAAUUUUAGAUUAUUUGCUCACUUUGUUUUUCACUAUUAAUCAUUUUAGCUCGGCUAUUCAAUGAAUAGCUAAUGCUAUAAUAGUACUUACCGCAUUGGCGUCAAACUUAGGUUACUUUUAUGUGUGCAAGUUGGUAUCUAAAAAACUACUGAAUGAAAAUUUCAAUUGACAUUCUUGUUCUUUAACAUGACUAACACAAAUCCCAUACCUCUCAUAUUUUUUUCCGCAUA